AAUUACAGCAGGCCAUCCAUGUCAAGUGUUUCAGAGAUGAGUACCGCAGCUACAACCCAGAAGACAGCCGCCUUCACACUCACUGCAUUAUCAGACUUCAUCAUUUACUCAUGCGCUCCGCAAUUUCAUUCCUACUGCAAGGCACUGACAGACGCAAAUUAACAAGGAUGGUGUAGUCUUCUGGUAUAACAAUUUCUCACGCUGAUGCACUUCCAGGAGAAAGGAAAAUCAGGACAAUAAAUCGACUGAUGAGGAAGUAAGGCUGUCAUCUUUAACUCACUUUUAAAACCUCUGAAACAUCAAACUUUUAUAUAAAUUUAUAAAAGUGCAAAAACAUUGUUAAUUUAAGAACAUAAAGUCUUUACUGAACAUAUAACAAACACAUAAAAUUAUAAAUUACUCCUGUUGAGGGGAUGUUACAGAAAUUAAAGGAGGUCUUCCAGUCUUCAGCAUGGAGCAGUGUGAAGGGCCUUGCGGAAACCUCAAGUAAAACUUGGGCCAGUGGACAUUAAGCUGAAAUGAAUUUAGAUAAUACACCAACUCAUGUGCAAUUAAAGUUUCAGUGUGGCAUUACAUGAAGUAUGGUUUUAUAAAGUGCUCAGUGCUUUAUAAUAAACCAUGGUUUCAUGAAUUGUAUGAUUUUAAUAGACAGACUAAUGAAUUAAAGUUUUGCCACUGAUGGUGACCUCUUUAGGUCAAAACGCGUUUGGCACAAAGUGUUAUUUAAUGUGUAAACAAUUUUGUUUGUAUGCAUGAUUUUAUAUAUUCAAAAUAUAAACUUUUCUUGCUGU